rnacentral:rRNA from 1 species
GGAAAGUGGUCGUCGCGGGCCGGGGUAGUUAGGGGGUGGGAAGGGUUAAGAGGAUGUAGUGGGCUUAAAGCGGGGGUAGGGGGUGGGUCAAGUCGGUUGGGAAAGACCUGGGCUUAACCUGGGAACGGCUUCCGAGGCUGAACGACUAGAGAUCGGUAGAGGGCGGUGGAAUUUCCGGUGUAGCGGUGAAAUGCGUAGAUAUCGGAAGGAACACCAAUGGCGAAGGCAGCCGCCUGGGCCUGAUCUGACACUGAGACACGAAAGCGUGGGGAUCAAACAGGAUUAGAUACCCUGGUAGUC